rnacentral:misc_RNA from 1 species
CAUACUCGGGCUCUUAUCCCUGCUUGCUUGCCAGGGCAAAGAGUGCCGAAGAAAAUUGGCGGAUGGGGGAGGGGGGAAACUCCUGAAAGAGAGAGUGGAGAUUUUAAGUUACCGCUGGCCGCAACACCUGACAUGAGCAAGUGGUAUGUGUGUGUGCGCGCGCAUUGGCGGUACCCUGCAAAUGUGAGUUAGCAUGGCUUCUCUUCCUCUUUUUUGUCUCUUUCUUGAUUGCUCCUUCCCUCUCUGGGCUGGAUUUUGGGCGAGGCGAUAGACUCUUCAGGUGAUCAUCACGGCUAGGCGGAAGCGACGUGGAAAAUGGUAUCUGCUCUUCCCUGCCUCUUCUCUUCUCCCCCAUUUCGUCUUAUGUGGGCCAUGCCCCGCCGCAUUUGUUGUCGGGGAGUUUUCUUUUUGAUUUUCAUAUUUUUUUUUCCUCUUCACCCGUUGCUUCCCUGACUCAACGCGUGCGUUGCUGAUGCUCUGCCUGCAACCGUUACUUCGUGUUUGCUCAUUCUUUUGGUUUGGUGCUCUGCGUUCUCAAGUGCCAUGUGUGCCAGAAGCAUUCGUCUGCGUCUGUCUGUGUCUGUGUCGCGUUGCGUGCUGGUAUUCUCGCCGCGUUGGUGGUGGUGGUGGUGGGGGCUCCCACUUCUCAUUCAAUAGCGAACUCAUUUUCCUUUGUGUGCCAUUUUUCCUCUUUUUUAUCUCUUCGUCUUCUGUUUUGCUCUUCUCCGCUCGCACAUGGUGGAAAACAGGAACGCAACCCCCCCCCCCCCCCGAGAAAAAAAGACGACAGCAACACACACGCGCGCAGAUGGACUAACCCCUUUUCGUUUUUGUCUUCGUCGCCUUGCCUUCACUGAUUCGCAUGUCUUUUUUUCCCUCUGUUUCUUGUUUAGCCUCUUUUUCACCUAGGGAGGUGAAAACAAUCUCGAAGCAGAUGAGCACACACACAGACACGCACACCAGGAUACGCAAAGAAGGAGCGAAAACAAAACCACGAUAUUUAGCCCACGAACGCAAGAAUGCCCAGACUGCCUUCAAACACAUUUGCCUUUGCAUUUUGUGUCUCUAGAGUGUACGAGAAGACGUUGCACAUAUGUAUGCGUGUGUGUGUGUUUAGGGGGGGGGUGAUGUGGAGGCGCUGGUGGUCGUCUUUUUUUUGAGUUGUUUCUUCUCAUUCACUCGUGAGUUGGCUGCUGGUGUCAUCAUCUUUUACCUUGGUGUGCUUGCGAAAAGGCGGACAAGUUGCUGCGACGUACGCGGAUCAGCCUUUCACUGGCCCGAAAACAUAGUACCAAACAGCAUCAUGAGACU